rnacentral:rRNA from 1 species
AUGGGUGUUGGCUCCAACAAUUCUCAUUGGUCUCAAACCAAUGAAGUGCAUGAAGAUGAUCAUGAGUAUGAAGUGUAUGAGGAUGAUGAGGGUAUCAUCGAUGCACCGAAAGGAAGGGCGUGCAACUACACCAUUGAGGAAGACAUCUUGCUAUGUAAUACAUGGUUGAAUGUGUCUAUGGAUGCCACCGUUGGAGGGGACCAAUCUAGCGAUACAUAUUGGUUUCGGAUGAAGGAGUUCUUUGACGCACACAACAAGAGUGAAAUUGAGUGCACCGAUAGAUCUCUUCGCUCCUGGUGGUCGAAGAUAAACAAAGGUUGUCAAAAGUGGGAGGCGGCAAUGAAGUCGGUUGACACUAUAAACCCAAGUGGCACUAAUGAUAGAGAUAGGGUAAGUGACAUUUCUUUAUGUUCCAUGGCAUCGAGGUUCUGA